UACGGAGGGUGCAAGCGUUAUCCGGAUUCACUGGGUUUAAAGGGUGCGUAGGUGGGUUGGUAAGUCAGUGGUGAAAUCCCCGAGCUUAACUUGGGAACUGCCAUUGAUACUAUCAGUCUUGAAUACCGUGGAGGUUAGCGGAAUAUGUCAUGUAGCGGUGAAAUGCUUAGAUAUGACAUAGAACACCAAUUGCGAAGGCAGCUGGCUACACGAAUAUUGACACUGAGGCACGAAAGCGUGGGGAUCAAACAGG
rnacentral:rRNA from 2 species